UAGGGAAUCUUCGGCAAUGGACGAAAGUCUGACCGUGCAACGCCGCGUGAGUGAAGAAGGUUUUCGGAUCGUAAAACUCUGUUGUUAGAGAAGAACAAGGACGUUAGUAACUGAACGUCCCCUGACGGUAUCUAACCAGAAAGCCACGGCUAACUACGUGCCAGCAGCCGCGGUAAUACGUAGGUGGCAAGCGUUGUCCGGAUUUAUUGGGCGUAAAGCGAGCGCAGGCGGUUUCUUAAGUCUGAUGUGAAAGCCCCCGGCUCAACCGGGGAGGGUCAUUGGAAACUGGGAGACUUGAGUGCAGAAGAGGAGAGUGGAAUUCCAUGUGUAGCGGUGAAAUGCGUAGAUAUAUGGAGGAACACCAGUGGCGAAGGCGGCUCUCUGGUCUGUAACUGACGCUGAGGCUCGAAAGCGUGGGGAGCAAACAGG
rnacentral:rRNA from 1 species